rnacentral:rRNA from 1 species
UGAGGAAUAUUGCACAAUGGACGAAAGUCUGAUGCAGCGACGCCGCGUGGGUGAUGAAGGCCCUCGGGUCGUAAAACCCUUUUGGCAGGGACGAGUGAGGACGGUACCUGCAGAAUAAGUCUCGGCUAACUACGUGCCAGCAGCCGCGGUAAAACGUAGGAGGCGAGCGUUAUCCGGAUUUACUGGGCGUAAAGCGCGCGUAGGCGGUCGGGUAAGUCAGAUGUUAAAGCCCCUGGCUCAACUGGGGGAGGUCAUUUGAUACUGCUCGGCUUGAGGGUGAGAGAGGAGAGCGGAAUUCCCGGUGUAGCGGUGGAAUGCGUAGAGAUCGGGAGGAACACCAGUGGCGAAAGCGGCUCUCUGGCUCAUCUCUGACGCUGAGUGCGCGAAAGCGUGGGGAGCAAACGGGAUUAGAUACCCCGGUAGUCCACGCCCUAAACGAUGAGAGCUGGGUGUCGGCAGGGUUUCCUGUCGGUGCCGAAGCAAACGCGUUAAGCUCUCCGCCUGGGGACUACGAACGCAAGUUUA